UGACAUAAAAAUAGACUGGCAGGGCCAUGUCAGAUAUCUGGGGUGUCCAGCACAAGUGCAUGUUUCUAGCAGAUACAGCAUGGCCCCUACAGGAAAGCCCUGCCUGUUUGGAGUGGUGCUGAGCAAGUGCCCCAGGGCAUCUUGGGUUUCCUACCUGUGCCCAAACAAAUGAAUCCUACCUCUGCCUUCGGGUACAGUCUGUACUGCCCACAUCCAAACAUGCUGUGUAAAUGGGAGACACAUCACACCAAGGUCUCCACUCAUGUCCCUGCGCUCUUAAGACCUUCUAGUUCUCUUCUCCCUGACCCUCUUUCACCCCCAGAUGACAUAAACAGGGACUGUGCUAAUGAGGUCCGCAGGGUCACUGGAUCGCAGGCUGUCCAGGCCAGGGACUUCUUAAGUGGCACCUUAUCGUGCCUGGACAUUGCUUCACCUCUGUCACAGGCCCCAAGGUGCUGCAGAGUCAACUCAGGCAGCAAACUCCUUUCCUGCCAUUCCUGCACAGCCCAGCUCUGUUUCUCCCUGGCCUUGGGCACUGCAGGCUUUGCUCUCUUAGUGGGAACCUCCAUUCACCAUGACAUUGCCACCUGCUUUGUUGCACCAUGACCAAUCUGACUGAAACAUUGCUAGAGUACUGAGAUGUGGUGGGAUUACUUGCAUGAUAGGAGAGCUCUCAUGGUAGGGUACAAACUCUUCAGGAGAGACCAAUGGGGAAGAUGAGGAAGGUCAAUGCCCUUUUUGUGAAGGGGCGGCUCAGAUGUGUGGAAGUCUUCCAUGGGAGAGGCAAGGGUUUGGGUGAGAGCUUGUGGGUGACAAGGGUGACAUUGCAAUGGGAGUUACAGACCACCCAGUCAGGGUGAGGAGGUUGCUGCAGUCCCCUUUAAGCAAUGUGAGAAAGUCUGUGGAUUACAGACUGUGGUUCUUAUGGGGGGCGCACUUUAAUCCCCCUGACAUUCAGUGGAAGAGCAAACAGCAGAGUGCAAGAGUGCAAGCAGGCCAGUGGUUUCUGGAGGGCAUCAGGGACAACUUCUUAGCACAAAUGCACGAUGGGCCAAUAUUUGUGAUGCUUCCUUGUAUCUGGAAAUUUGAAACAGGGAGGAAUGGAUCAGGGAUGGGAUAGUCAGUGUCAGCCUUGUCUACGGUGGCCAUGAAAAAGUAGCAUUCCAGAUCCUGAAGGGAGUGAGGAAAGAUAGUAGCAGAGCACAGACCCUGGACUUCAGAGGGGCAGACUUGGGCCUGUUGAGGGGACUGGUGGGGGAUCCCAUGGGAGGCAGUUCUGAAGGGCCCAGCAGCUCAGGAAAGCCAGCAGGUCUUUAAGGACAGCACCCAGCAAGCACAAAAAUAGUCCAUAGUGGUACUCAGUGGAACUAGUAAACAUCUUGGGAGAUUGGUUUGGCUACACUGGGAACUCAGGACUGAGCUCCAGGGCAAUAAGGAAGCAGAAGGAAGGAGUGGCUGCAAAGGAGGAAUUCAAAAAUAUUGUCCAGAGAAGAAGGAAUAGUGUUAGGGAAGCCAAAGCUCCCCAAGGGUAGACACUUGCAGGGAAUGUCAAGAGCAUGAAGAAGAGCUGCUACAGCUUCAGUUACAGUAAAAGAGUGAAAGAUAA
rnacentral:lncRNA from 1 species